rnacentral:rRNA from 1 species
UACAGAGGUCUCAAGCGUUGUUCGGAUUCAUUGGGCGUAAAGGGUGCGUAGGUGGCGCGGUAAGUCGGGUGUGAAAUUUCGGAGCUUAACUCCGAAACUGCAUUCGAUACUGCCGUGCUUGAGGACUGGAGAGGAGACUGGAAAUUUACGGUGUAGCAGUGAAAAUGCGUAGAUAUCGUAAGGAAGACCAGUGGCGAAGGCGGGUCUCUGGACAGUUCCUGACACUGAGGCACGAAGGCCAAGGGAGCAAAACGGG